rnacentral:rRNA from 1 species
AUUGAACGCUGGCGGCAUGCCUUACACAUGCAAGUCGAACGGUAACAGGGUGCUUGCACCGCUGACGAGUGGCGAACGGGUGAGUAAUGCGUCGGAACGUGCCGAGUAGUGGGGGAUAACGCAGCGAAAGUUGUGCUAAUACCGCAUAAGUACGGAGGUAGAAAGUGGGGGACCUUCGGGCCGCACGCUAUUAGAGCGGCCGACGUCUGAUUAGCUAGUAGGUGAGGUAAAGGCUCACCUAGGCGACGAUCAGUAGGGGGUCUGAGGGGAUGAUCCGCCACACAGGGACUGAGACACGGCCCAGACUCCUACGGGAGGCAGCAGCGGGGAAUUUUGGACAAUGGGCGAAAGCCUGAGCCAGCCAUGCCGCGUGUCUGAAGAAGGCCUUCGGGUUGUAAAGGACUUUUGUCGGGGAGGAAAUCCCCAGCGUUAAUACCGCUGGGGGAUGACAGUACCUGAAGAAUCAGCACCAGCUAACUACGUGCCAGCCGCCGCCGUAAAAC